AGAGCCCAGUUAAGGGAGAGUUUAUCAGGAACCAGGCACAGGGACAGGAGUACACACCAUGAUUUCACACAUCGAGCUGAUCUGGCCCCUGGCAUUCUGUAUCACAGGUAUCAGUGGGGACAUCAUCAUGAACCAGUCUCCCCCGGUGCUAUCAGUGGGACUGGGCCACACUGCAACCAUCACCUGUACGGCCAGUCAAAGCAUUAGCAGCUACCUUGCUUGGUACCAGCAGCGAGAAGGUCAGAAACCCUCUCUCCUGAUCUAUGCUGCAACAAAUCGAUUUACAGGAGUCUCCGAUCGAUUCACCGGCAGUGGAUCAGGGACCAGUUUCACCCUGACAAUCAGCAACGUUCAGAAUGAGGAUGUCGCUGACUAUUACUAUAUGCAGGAUUACAGCUACCCUCGACAUUCGGUAAAGGAAUCAAGCUCAGACUGA